AACGAACGCUGGCGGCAGGCCUAACACAUGCAAGUCGAGCGCACCUUCGGGUGAGCGGCGGACGGGUUAGUAACGCGUGGGAACAUACCCCUUUCUACGGAAUAGCCUCGGGAAACUGAGAGUAAUACCGUAUACGCCCUUCGGGGGAAAGAUUUAUCGGUGAGGGAUUGGCCCGCGUUAGAUUAGAUAGUUGGUGGGGUAAUGGCCUACCAAGUCUACGAUCUAUAGCUGGUUUUAGAGGACGAUCAGCAACACUGGGACUGAGACACGGCCCAGACUCCUACGGGAGGCAGCAGUGGGGAAUCUUAGACAAUGGGCGAAAGCCUGAUCUAGCCAUGCCGCGUGAGUGAUGAAGGCCUUAGGGUCGUAAAGCUCUUUCGCCCAGG
rnacentral:rRNA from 1 species